rnacentral:lncRNA from 1 species
CAAUUAAUUGGCCGUGUAAGCCUGGGUUUUCAACUCAUCUGCAGAAGUCGCAAGGUUAAUGAAACCAUUACGUAUGCAUGGAUGUUGUGGAAGGGGACAUGGGAAAAGAUGUAACUGACAACGCUCUCCGUCAAGCUCUGCAGGUUGGGCUAUUCUUAUCCGACAGUACUUAGCAAAGUUUCAGGUUACAAAUCUGAACAACCCGGGUGCCAGGAAUAAAUCCAAGCAAGAGGACGCACAGCCUUCC